CCUACGGGUGGCAGCAGUGAGGAAUAUUGGUCAAUGGUCGGGAGACUGAACCAGCCAAGUAGCGUGAGGGAUGAAGGUACAGAGUAUCGUAAACCUCUUUUGUCAGGGAACAAAGGCGGGGACGUAUCCCCGGAUGUGUGUACCUGAUGAAAAAGCAUCGGCUAACUACGUGCCAGCAGCCGCGGUAAUACGGAGGGGGCAAGCGUUAUCCGGAUUUACUGGGUGUAAAGGGAGCGUAGGCGGCGAUUUAAGUCAGAAGUGAAAGCUCGGGGCUCAACUGCGGGACUGCUUUUGAAACUGGAUGUCUAGAUUGCAGUAGAGGCGAGUGGAAUUCCUAGUGUAGCGGUGAAAUGCGUAGAUAUUAGGAGGAACACCAGUGGCGAAGGCGGCUUGCUGGACUGUAAAUGACGCUGAGGCUCGAAAGCGUGGGGAGCAAACAGGAUUAGAUACCCCAGUAGUC
rnacentral:rRNA from 1 species